CCGUGCUAAGCGGGGAGGUAGCGGUGCCCUGUACUCGCAAGCCGCUAUAGCGAGGCCGAAUUCCCACCCUAGGUGGGGUGGCCUCAAGGUCUGCCUUAAGCGAUUGGUGUUGACACCCGGGUCCUGCACAAUGGGGACCCGUAAACCCUGUCAGGUCCGGAAGGAAGCAGCAGUAAGCGGUCAUCUCCGUGUGUUGCGGGGUCGCCUGGGUCGAGCCAUGACCUUGAGUAACGCUUGGGGCCACCUCAUCGAAGGUGGGUGCACGG
rfam:Pontibacillus yanchengensis Y32 contig26, whole genome shotgun sequence.